rnacentral:rRNA from 1 species
UACGGGGGGAGCAAGCGUUGUUCGGAUUUACUGGGCGUAAAGGGCGCGUAGGCGGCCACCGCAAGUCGGUUGUGAAAUCUCCGGGCUUAACCCGGAAAGGUCAAUCGAUACUGCGGGGCUAGAGUGCAGAAGGGGGCAAACUGGAAUUCUCGGUGUAGCGGUGAAAUGCGUAGAUAUCGAGAGGAACACCUGCGGCGAAGGCGGGUUGCUGGGCUGACACUGACGCUGAAGCGCGAAAGCUAGGGGAGCGAACGGG